CCGCCGGGUAGCCGCGUCUGGGCAGGAUAAGUGCUGAAAGCAUCUAAGCACGAAGCCGGCUCCAAGAUAAGAUCUCAUUCAAGGGCCGUUGAAGACGACGACGUUGAUAGGCCGCAGGUGUAAGCGUUGUGAGGCGCUCAGCCGAGCGGUACUAAUUGCCCGAAGUUUCCGGAGA
rnacentral:rRNA from 1 species